CAUUCACAUGUUGAAGCCCUUACCCCCCAGGACUACAGAACGUGACCUUAUUUGGUGAUGGGGUCUUCAUGGAAACAAUCAGGUUAACAUGAAGUCAUUGGGGAAUGUUCACAGCUCUGUCCUCAGCGUCACUGGUGACAAUAUCAAACAGCACUAGAUGUUCCAAAUGUGUUUGUUUUUCUUACCCAAGAGGGCUACCUUACGCUUCCCACAGCAGUUCACCUAGUGGCUUACCAAACCGCAGCUUUGUCCAAUAACAUCACCUGGCAAAUGACGUCAUAGAUGCUGAAGCUAAUAACCUUGAGGACAAACCAAGAUUUCUGGCUGCUCCUGCUGGCUUGAAGUAUCUGGAGCCCUUGUUCAUGUUUCCUUAAAUUUGUUCCACACUUACUUUUAUUAAAAACAUUGUAUUGAUUGGCAAAUUAAUGAGGUUUAAUAAAAUACUAUCUGGAAA